UUAGGAAUUUUGGGCAAUGGGCGAAAGCCUGACCCAGCAACGCCGCGUGGGUGAUGAAGGCCUUCGGGUCGUAAAACCCUUUUACGGGGGAAGAAUAAUGACGGUACCCCGUGAAUAAGCCCCGGCUAACUACGUGCCAGCAGCCGCGGUGAUACGUAGGGGGCAAGCGUUGUCCGGAUUUACUGGGCGUAAAAGGCUCGUAGGUGGCUCGCCCAGUCGAGCGUGAAAUCUCCCGGCUUAACUGGGAGGGGUCGUUCGAUACUAGCGGGCUCGAGGUCGGUAGAGGGAAGCGGAAUUCCGGGUGUAGUGGUGGAAUACGUAGAUAUCCGGAGGAACACCAGUGGCGAAGGCGGCUUCCUGGACCGAUUCUGACACUGAGGAGCGAAAGCGUGGGGAGCGAUCCG
rnacentral:rRNA from 1 species